rnacentral:lncRNA from 1 species
GACAUUCUCAGAUGUCAUGACAACAUAUCUUUGUCAUUAUGCUAGGCACUUGGUGGACUCGUUACACAUAAAUACUCAUGCUUUCAGUUCUAAUAAAUUUCAAGGGUUGCUUCUUUGAUUUUUUUUUUUGGGGGGGAUGCUUUUCUAGGGCUGCACCCGCAGCAUAUGGAGUUUCUCAGGCUUGGGGUCUAAUCAGAGCUGUAGCCAUGGGCCUAAGCCAGAGCCAUGGAACGUCAGAUUCCUACACCACAGCUCACAGGAACGCCAGAUCCUUAACCCACUGAGUGAGGCCAGGGAUCAAACCCACAACCUCGUGGUUCCUAGGUGGAUUUGUUAACCACUGAGCCAUGACAGGAACUCCAAUUAUAAUUAUUUUUUAAUUUCUGUUUUCUCCCUUCUAGGUUCAUAAAGCUUCUUUUAGUUAUACAUUGAAACCUCCUAGAUUAGGGAUAUUUUUCUCUUUUAUUUCCAUCCCUGUGUACUUUUGUUUUGUUUUACUUUCUAUAGGAAUUCCUCAAAUUUACCUUAUAAACCUUCAAAUGAAAUCUAUACUACUAUCUUUUUAAUUUAAAGAGAUCCCUUUUGCUUUCUGAUUGUUCUUUUUUAUAACAUCCUUUUCUUAUUUCAGUCAUACAGAAUUUCUCAUUUCUAGAAGGAUAUAAAUUUUGGUACUCUUGAAAUAUUCUUUUGCUUUGUUCAUUGUCUCUAUUUUCUCUAAUAUUUUCCCCAUCACUUUCUUUUUUUCCAUAGUUCAUGUUGGAGACUACCUGCAAACAAACUUUGAUUCCCCCCGCCUUUUUUUUGGUCUCUUUAGCACUGCACCCAAGGCAUAUGGACGUUCCCAGGCUAGGGUUCGAAUCGGAGCUGCAGCUGCUGGUCUACGCCACAGCCACAGCACCAAAGGAUCCAAGCCAUGUCUGUGACCUACACCACAGCUCAUGGCAACACCAGAUCCUUUAACCCACUAAGUGAGGCUAGGCAUCAGCCCCUCCUCCUCAUGCAUGCUAGUUGUGUUACCACUGAGCCACAAUGGGAACUUCCAAAUUUGGUCUUUGACCAUCUCUUUAUAUGUUAAAUCUAAAAACCACUAGAAAGGGCUUGGGAAGCUCAGUGUGGAUGGGCAGGGCUAGUGGAUCAAUAGUUUCACUGUGCUUUGAUCAGUGGUGGCCUAGUUGAUCUGUGCAUGAUGCUCACCUCCUUGGAAGGGAUCUUCUCCCUAAGGCCCUUCAGUUAUUGCAGGAAAGAAUCCGAGCUCUUGACUGCAGGGGUAAAGCCAGGCUGCCAGGGUUCUGAGACACAAAUGGGGAAAUGAAGCUGGGGUUUCAUGUUUGAAGACUUUCACUUAAACUUUCUGUUUUCAGUGGUGUGCCUCCUUUCUGUCUCUACUAUGUCUAGUUAGUACAAUAAAGGAAGGGAAAAACUACUUAUGGACUGGAAAAGAGAAAAUUAAUUUUGUCUAGUAGAGUAUCUUAACAAGGUUGUAGAACCCAAAAUCAGUGCACAAAAAUCAACUGCAUUUUACAUACUACAAAACUAAUAGUUAGCAAUAAAAUUUUUAAAACAGUACCACUUACAAUAUCACCAAAAAAGCAUGGAAUAUUGGAGUUCCCGUUGUGGCUCAGUGGUUAAUGAAUCUGACUAGGAACCAUGAGGUUGCGGGUUCAAUCCCUGGCCUUGCUCAGUGGGUUAAGGACUUGGCGUUCCCGUGAGCUGUGGUGUAGGUCACAGAUGCGGCUCGGAUCUGGCGUUGUUGUGGCUCUGGCGUAGAUGGGUGGCUACAGUUCCAAUUAGACCCCUAGUCUGGGACCUCCAUAUGUCACGGGUGCGGCCCUAAAAAGGACAAAAAAAAAAAUGCAUGGAAUAUUUAGGAAUUAAUCUAAUAAGCUAUCUCCAGGAUCUUUAUGUGAUAACAACAACAACAACAACAAAACACUGAUGAAAUAAAUUAAACACAUAAAUGAAUAGAGAAAUAAACCAUGCUGGUGAAUUAGAAAACUCAAAAUUGUUAAAAAUGUCAGUUCCUCCAAAAUCGAUCUAUAGGUUCGAUGCAAUUUUAAUCAAAACCAUGGCAGGAUUUCUUGUAUAGAAAUGUCAAGCUUAUUCUAAAAUGUAUAUAGAAAGGCAAAGGAAAUAUAAUGGCCAAGACGAUUUUGAAAAAGAAACACAAAGUUAAAGGAUUCACAUCACCUGAUUUUAAGAUAUACUAAAAUAUACAGCAAUCAAGAUAUAUGAAUGAAAGCAGAGACACAGAGAUAAAAUGGAAUAAAACAGAAUGUCCAUAACAAGGCCCCAUGUAUAUGGUCAAUUUAUCUUUUUGAUAAAGAUGUAGAGACAAUUCAAUAAUCUUUUCCAGAACGAAGUAUUCUGUAACUACUGGACAUCCAUAGGCAAAAAGAAGAACCUUGACACAUACUCUUCACCUUAUUUACAAAUUAACUCAAAAUGGAAUCAGAACUAAAUGUAAAACCUGAAAGUAUAAAGGGGAAAGACUGUGAUGAAACUUUUCAUGGAGUUCCUGUCAUGGCUCAGUGGGUUAAGACCCCAACUAGUAUCCAUGAGGAAGCUGGUUGGAUCCCUGGCCUCGAUCAGUGGGUAAGGAUCCAGCAUUGCCAUUGCUGUGAGCUGUGGUGUAGGUCACAGAUGUGGCUCGGAUCUGGCAUUGCUGUGGCUGUGGCAUAGGCCCCCAGCUUCAGCUCCAGUUUGACCCCUUCCAUAUGCUGCAGGUGUGGCCCUAAAAAGAAAAGAAAAAAAACCUUUUCAUUGGUAACCCCAUAGGCAGGAGAGCAGGAAAGCAAUACCUCACAAUAUUCUAAGUGGAAAAUUCAGUCAAUAAUGAUUUAAUAUUAUUUCAGUUAACCAAACUGGCACAUAAAUUACCUGUCCCCCAUCUGGUGUCAAACACAAAGAAACAUCAUGGAAAAUUCAGCAUAAAAAAAUCAGCUAAUCAAUUGAAAGAUGGAAGUAUCCUAGUUUCAUAAGUUCAACUCAGAAUAGAGCAGCAGAAAAAUUCAGAGAAUUUAACUGUAUAUAGAUCUGAACCAUGUCAGGAUAAGACUCCAGCGUUCAAGAAGGAAAGUGACUUGUGGUUGCCAAGGGGGAGGGGGAGGGAAUGGAGGGGGUGUGUUGGAAUUUGGGGUUAGUGGAUGCAAACUAUUGCAUUUGGAAUAGAUAAGCAAUGAGAUCCUGCUGUAUAUCACGGGAACUAUAUUGAGUCACUUGUGAUGGAACAUGAUGGAGGAUAAUGUGAGAAAAAGAAUGUGUAUAUAUAUGUAUACACACACACACACACACACACACACACACACACACACACAGCCAGGUCACUUUACAACAGAAAUUGACAGAACACUGUAAACCAACUACAAUAAAAAUAUUUUUAAAUAUUUGUGUCUGAGACCUGCACCACAAGCCAUGGCCACACCAGAUCCUUAACCCACUGAGUGAGGCCAGGGAUGGAACCCACAUCCUCAUGGAUACUAGUCAGGUUUGUUUCUAGUGAGCCACAACAGGGACUCCAAGGUUCCUCAAAAAAUUUAAAAUAGGGAGUUCCCGUCGUGGCACAGUGGUUAACGAAUCCGACUAGGAACCAUGAGGUUGCAGGUUCGGUCCCUGCCCUUGCUCAGUGGGUUAACGAUCCGGCGUUGCCGUGAGCUGUGGUGUAGGUUGCAGACGCGGCUCGGAUCCCGCGUUGCUGUGGCCCUGGCGUAGGCCGGUGGCUACAGCUCCGAUUCAACCCCUAGCCUGGGAACCUCCAUAUGCCGCAGGAGCGGCCCAAGAAAUAGCAACAACAACAACAAAAGACAAUAAG